UGUGGUUGUGUGCCUCAAUGUUAGCGAUGAAGCUACCGUACAGUGUUCUGCUGUGUUAGCGAUAAUGCUUGUGUGCCUCAGUGUUAGCGAUUAUGCUACCGAACAGUGUGCCUCAGUGUUAGCGAUUAUGCUACUGUACGGAAUGCUUCCAAAUCAGCUGUUUCUCUUUACUUUUCUUCUCUAGUGUUGAACCACCAUUUGAAAUUUGAACCACCACUUUCCAAAACAAACUGCAGCUCAUCAUCUUUCUGUCUAUCACCAACCCCUACGGGUGCCUGUGUCGCUCCAAAUAUCAGCACACGUUCCAUUAUCAUCUCCCGGGCCUUCUUUCCGUCGUCGCAGUUUACGCUUUCAGAAAUGAAAUCAGUUUUGCUUGCUGAUUUGGGUAUUAGAGAGAUUAUUCACCCUCCUGGUCUCACUCUCCUGGUCUCACCCUCCUGGUCUCACUCUCCUGGUCUCACUCUCCUGGUCUCACCCUCCUGGUCUCACUCUCCUGGUCUCACUCUCCUGGUCUCACUCUCCUGGUCUCAUGGUGUUGUGUCAGAGUCAGAGGUGUUCUACACCAUCCACUGAACUGAUGCUGUGAAGAGACAUCAGUAGGUAGAAGACCUCCUCACUGGUACCUGUGCCAAAUGUGCUGGGAAGUGGACACAUCAUGAAAUACAAGACACAACAGUGAUGCCUAACAAGAAGAUACCCAAAGAGCCUUCAGCGUGCCUGUUAGUGUGUGAGAGACAGUUCAAAUUAGAUGUACAGUAUUUUUAUGCAUUAUCUUUAUAUCUACAGUAUUUUUUUUAACCUUUAUUUAACUUGGCAAGUCAGUUAAGAACAAAUUCUUAUUUUCAAUGACGGCCUAGGAACACUGUCUUUUUCAGGGGCAGAACGACAGAUAUUUACCAUGCCAGCUCGGGGAUUCGAUCUUGCAACCUUUCGGUUACUAGUCCAACGCUCUAACCACUAGGCUACCUGCCGCCCCAAUAUCUACAGUAUAUUCUAUGGGUAUUUUUAUAUCCGAAUAUUUGUAUAUACUGUACUCAUGUUUUGGGCUCUUUUUACACAGAGAUGCUGUUUUAUCCUGUAAAUAAAUCCUGAC
rnacentral:lncRNA from 1 species